rnacentral:rRNA from 1 species
UGGUGUGGAUGAGUGGCGAACGGGUGAGUAAUACGUGAGUAACCUGCCCUUGACUCUGGGAUAAGCCCGGGAAACUGGGUCUAAUACUGGAUGCUACAUGUCACCGCAUGGUGGUGUGUGGAAAGGGUUUACUGGUCUUGGAUGGGCUCACGGCCUAUCAGCUUGUUGGUGAGGUAAUGGCUCACCAAGGCGACGACGGGUAGCCGGCCUGAGAGGGUGACCGGCCACACUGGGACUGAGACACGGCCCAGACUCCUACGGGAGGCAGCAGUGGGGAAUAUUGCACAAUGGGCGAAAGCCUGAUGCAGCGACGCCGCGUGAGGGAUGACGGCCUUCGGGUUGUAAACCUCUUUCAGCAGGGAAGAAGCCACAAGUGACGGUACCUGCAGAAGAAGCGCCGGCUAACUACGUGCCAGCAGCCGCGGUAAUACGUAGGGCGCAAGCGUUGUCCGGAAUUAUUGGGCGUAAAGAGCUCGUAGGCGGUUUGUCGCGUCUGCUGUGAAAGCCCGGGGCUUAACCCCGGGUGUGCAGUGGGUACGGGCAGACUAGAGUG